UACGUAGGGUGCGAGCGUUUAAUCGGAAUUACUGGGCGUAAAGCGUGCGCAGGCGGUCUUGCAAGACAGAUGUGAAAGCCCCGGGCUUAACCUGGGAACUGCAUUUGUGACUGCAAGGCUGGAGUGCGGCAGAGGGGGAUGGAAUUCCGCGUGUAGCAGUGAAAUGCGUAGAUAUGCGGAGGAACACCGAUGGCGAAGGCAAUCCCCUGGGCCUGCACUGACGCUCAUGCACGAAAGCGUGGGGAGCAAACAGGA
rnacentral:rRNA from 1 species